AUUGAACGCUGGCGGCAGGCCUAACACAUGCAAGUCGAGCGGAGCGGAGGACGGGGGAGUAAUGCCUAGGAAUAUGCCUGGUAGUGAGGGAUAACGUCCGGAAAAGGGCGCUAAUACCGCAUACUAUAAGAUGCGACUAGGUCGGAUUAGCUAGUUGGUGGGGUAAAGGCCUAUCAAGGCUACGAUCCGACACUGGUCUGCGAGGAUGAUCAGUCACACUGGAACUGAUACACGGUCCAGACUCCUACGGUAGGCAGCAGUGGGGACUAUUGGACAAUGGGCGAAAGCCUGAUCCAGCCAUGCCGCGUGUGUGAAGAAGGUCUUCGUAUUGUAAAGCACUUUAAGUUGGGAGGCGUUACCAACAGAAUAAGCACCGGCUAACUACGUGCCAGCAGCCGCGGUAAUAC
rnacentral:rRNA from 1 species